GUGUCAGCAGCCGCGGUAAUACGGAGGGUGCAAGCGUUAUCCGGAUUCACUGGGUUUAAAGGGUGCGUAGGCGGGUUUGUAAGUCAGUGGUGAAAUCCCCGAGCUUAACUUGGGAACUGCCAUUGAUACUGCAGAUCUUGAAUUUUCUGGAGGUAAGCGGAAUAUGUCAUGUAGCGGUGAAAUGCUUAGAUAUGACAUAGAACACCCAUUGCGAAGGCAGCUUACUACGGGAAUAUUGACGCUGAGGCACGAAAGCGUGGGGAUCAAACAGGAUUAGAUACCCUGGUAGUCC
rnacentral:rRNA from 1 species